AGCACCGGCUAACUCCGUGCCAGCAGCCGCGGUAAUACGGAGGGUGCGAGCGUUAAUCGGAAUUACUGGGCGUAAAGGGUGCGUAGGUGGUUGAUUAAGUUAUCUGUGAAAUUCCUGGGCUCAACCUGGGACGGUCAGAUAAUACUGGUUGACUCGAGUAUAGGAGAGGGUAGUGGAAUUUCCGGUGUAGCGGUGAAAUGCGUAGAGAUCGGAAGGAACACCAGUGGCGAAGGCGGCUACCUGGCCUAAUACUGACACUGAGGCACGAAAGCGUGGGGAGCAAACAGGAUUAGAUACCCUGGUAGUCCACGCCGUAAACGAUGUCAACUAGCUGUUG
rnacentral:rRNA from 1 species